rnacentral:rRNA from 1 species
GAUGAACGCUGGCGGCGUGCCUAAUACAUGCAAGUCGAGCGAACAGAUGAGGAGCUUGCUCCUCUGACGUUAGCGGCGGACGGGUGAGUAACACGUGGAUAACCUACCUAUAGGACUGGGAUAACUUCGGGAAACCGGAGCUAAUACCGGAUAAUAUAUUGAACCGCAUGGUUCAAUAGUGAAAGACGGUUUUGCUGUCACUUAUAGAUGGAUCCGCGCCGCAUUAGCUAGUUGGUAAGGUAACGGCUUACCAAGGCAACGAUGCGUAGCCGACCUGAGAGGGGGAUCGGCCACACUGGAACUGAGACACGGUCCAGACUCCUACGGGAGGCAGCAGUAGGGAAUCUUCCGCAAUGGGCGAAAGCCUGACGGAGCAACGCCGCGUGAGUGAUGAAGGUCUUCGGAUCGUAAAACUCUGUUAUUAGGGAAGAACAAAUGUGUAAGUAACUAUGCACGUCUUGACGGUACCUAAUCAGAAAGCCACGGCUAACUACGUG